rnacentral:rRNA from 1 species
AUGGCGGAGGCUUUAGCACUCAAAUUUGGCCUAAUACUGGCGCAAAGGGUCAGAUGCAAUUGCCUUAUCAUAAACUCAGACAAUAUAGAGGUGAUUGAUUCGAUGAAUGAUGGAGGGCAGUUGGCGGCGGCAGUGUUUGACAAUUGUUACUUUUUAGCAUGUGACUUUUCCAUUACUAAAUUUGAGCAUUGUAAUAGAAAAGCAAAUAUGAUCGUACAUGAACUUGCUAAGUUAGCUAGAUUUUCUUCAUCUUUGAACUGGUUUGAGGAACCCUCGAGUGAAAUAUUAUAUGGCAUAUCCAUACUUUAA